rnacentral:rRNA from 1 species
GACGAACGCUGGCGGCGUGCUUAACACAUGCAAGUCGAACGGAAAGGCUCCAGCUUGCUGGAGUACUCGAGUGGCGAACGGGUGAGUAACACGUGGGUAAUCUGCCCUGCACUCUGGGAUAAGCCUGGGAAACUGGGUCUAAUACUGGAUAUGACCUUUCUCCUUAUGGGGUUUGGUGGAAAGUUUUUCGGUGUAGGAUGAGCCCGCGGCCUAUCAGCUUGUUGGUGGGGUGAUGGCCUACCAAGGCGACGACGGGUAGCCGGCCUGAGAGGGUGAUCGGCCACAUUGGGACUGAGAUACGGCCCAGACGCCUACGGGAGGCAGCAGUGGGGGAAUAUUGCACAAUGGGCGGAAGCCUGAUGCAGCGACGCCGCGUGAGGGAUGACGGCCUUCGGGUUGUAAACCUCUUUCAGCAGGGACGAAGCGUAAGUGACGGUACCUGCAGAAGAAGCACCGGCUAACUAUGUG